rnacentral:rRNA from 1 species
CCUACGGGAGGCAGCAGUGGGGAAUAUUGCACAAUGGGGGGAACCCUGAAGCAGCGACGCCGCGUGAGUGAAGAAGUAUUUCGGUAUGUAAAGCUCUAUCAGCAGGGAAGAAGAUGACGGUACCUGACUAAGAAGCCCCGGCUAACUACGUGCCAGCCGCCGCGGUAAUACGUAGGGGGCAAGCGUUAUCCGGAUUUACUGGGUGUAAAGGGAGCGUAGACGGCAGGGCAAGUCUGGAGUGAAAGCCCGGCGGCAAACCCCGGGACUGCUUUGGAAACUGCCAUGCUAGAGUGCUGGAGAGGUAAGCGGAAUUCGUAGUGUAGCGGUGAAAUGCGUAGAUAUUAGGAGGAACACCAGUGGCGAAGGCGGCUUACUGGACAGUAACUGACGUUGAGGCUCGAAAGCGUGGGGAUCAAACAGGAUUAGAUACCCUUGUAGUC